GGAAAGAGCACUGGGCGGGCGGGCAGGACCUGGAGCUUCGGCUACCCUGAGGUCUGGCAGUGCUUGGGUGGGAGUAGGAAAGGGGCAGAAAUAUAGGUCUUGGAAAGGGAGGAGAGCAAGAAGCCGCUGGCGGGCCGCGGACCGGGAUGAGCUGAGGGAGUUGCCAAGGGCCCCCAGCUAACCUCUCGGUUAUUGUAGUCCCAGUCGUGCCAACCCCCUUGGGCCCAUGAGAUGCUGAGGGCGCGGUAGGGAUCCUACCCCCAAAAGCUCCGUGCCACUUGCUACAGGCAGCUUGGAAAGUUUGUCUGUAGGGGGCCCAAGACCGAAUUCAGCCCCACGCUCGGGGCUGGUACAGAAGUGGGCCGACAAAGACGGAAAUCUGGAGCGUGGGCAGCCUGGGCUGAGGCAAGGGCGAGGAUACGCCGCGGCUGGGGAGAAGAAGGAGAGCGGAAAUCUCCAGAGCUGCCCCCUCUGCACGCCGAUGGUGCUGACUGCCUGGAACGCAGCGCACUGAAAACGACUGGACCUUCAUCUGGAAACAGAGGAUGGAGGUGUGAGAGUCUCGGGGAAGGGCGAAUGAUGCAGAGGUGCUGGGGUUAGGCGAGGAAAGUUUUGAGUUGUGGAACUCUCGCUCCCACUCCUAUCCUGGACUGGGACCUGAAUUUUGAGGCGAGAGAAGAAGAAGCUUCUGUGCCUGGCUCUCCCACUUCAACCACCCACACUCCCAAAGUACAAGUAAAUGUCCAAGAGAGACCAAUGGACCUUGGAAUUUGGAUUUCCCUCAUGGCCCCCAAUCCUACAAAGGGAUUCAUUAUUCUCCUUCACUUUAUUCCCUUUUUUCUUAUUUGAGCCUUAGGGCCCAGGGAAGGUAGAGAGCGAACUUGCUGUGGGAACCAGUGCUCCAGGAGAUAAGGUGUGGAACAAGGUUUGAGGAUGAGGCUUUGUAGCAGUUAUAUUUGACAUUCAGAGAAACAUGCAAAUGAGAUGCAAAGCAGCAUUCAAAUGAGCAGAGAUUAAUUUCGAGACUAAAGUUCAGGCAUGCUUCAUACUAGAGGAAUAAGGCAGCAGCUGGUGGAGGCCAGGAGUGGAGAGUUUUUGCAGAGAUCUCCUUGACCAGGCUGAGGGCCCAUAGUAAAAUACAUUUCUUCUUGGAGCUUCAGCCUGCUUAUCAGCUCCCUUUACUGCCAACAGUACAACGACAUUCCAGCAUCGGUUCGUUCCUGCAUUUCUCCACCCUCUCCCCCUAACCUUGUGGUUAUUCUGUUCCUCAUCAAAAACUAUUUGUUCCAGAACUGAGAGAAGAGGGUUGAUUCAAGGUGUUUGGUUGACUACCUAAGAAACAGCUCUGGGGGAAAACAUUUAGUUUAGAAAGUGUGAAACUGUGGUUGGUAAAGGGGUGGUUUGGGAAUUCCCACAGGAUUUCAGUUAUCUCUGCUUUCUCUGACUCCAAUUAGCCGAAGAACCAAAGGACUCUGAAUAUUUAUAGCCUUGAGGAGACAACCUCCAGACCACAGCUGAAAGGGGGUGGGGACCUGCAGAAAGUAGCCCAGAUCGUCUAUACUCACAUCUUGGCUUAGAAGUUCUAAUUCUCUAGGUCUUU
ensembl:lncRNA